ACUUAAAGGACACACACACACGCACACACACACACACACACACAGAUAUCCUGAUCAUCACAGCCCUGAUUACAAUUAUAUCAACAAAAGCACAUUUCUUGAGUGGUUGCUAGGGGUGGUUGCUAGGGUGUUGUUUGGCAGUUGCAAUGGUGUUCCAUGUGGUUGCUAGGCAGUUGCUAUGAUACAUUAUGUGGUGGUUAGGGUGUUGCAAUGUGUUAUGGUAUUUCAGGUGGUUGCUUGGGGGUUGAGUAAGUGAGAUAAGGGGCCUAGGGGAUAAGUGUGCACCGGCAUUGUGUCCCUGUGUGGGGGGAAAAUUCCAACUUGGAAAUGGCUGCUAGUGGGAAAUGGUGCGACCCAUCAAAAAGGCCUUCAUCUGUAUUACUCCUGACUUUUUCUCGUGAGACAAGACUCUUCCCCACCUACAAGUAUAUUAUGAUUGAUCGUCCACCUACGCUCUGAGGCCUGCCGCACUAAUCAAAUACAUGUAUGGUUUGCGCCUUGCUUAUCUGUGUGUUGUGUCUUAGUCCCUUUCCAGAACCUUCACACUAACUGUUCCUCAGUGGUGGAACGCACUUCCAAUCUCAAUCUGGACCGCAGAAUCUCUCACCAUCUUCAAAAAAGAGCUAAAGACCCACCUCUUCCAUGAACACCUAACCAACUCAUAAUUAUAUAUAAAAAUAAAUAAAUAAAAAAUUGCACUUACACCUCUACUCUGCACUUUGCUUCUUCUGGAAUUCAAUUAAUGGAUCUUGUAUGGUAGCACUACUUGUAUUGUUCUCUGCUUGAUAUAUCGCUUUGCUUGUAUUUUCUCAUUUGUAAGUCGCUUUGGAUAAAAGCGUCUGCUAAGUGAAUAAAUGUAAUGUAAAUGAAUGCCACAUAUAUCUGAUAAAUUACAGUUUUUCAAGGGAAAAAGGACCGAUUGACACAUAUUCACUCGCAAUCCUGAUAUAUCUGAAAAAUAUUUAAUACAAUUGACAGCUUUAUGAACUUCAUGUUCAUCUUUCAAAAACACUGUUGUGUCAUCUGCAAACUGACACAACUUAAACUUUUCCCCCAAAGCUGUAAUACCUUUAACAUAUCCUUUCUUUAAAUGAAUAGCCAUUAGGGGUUGCUAACAAAAAUAAAAGGGGAGAAAUCAGACAACCUUGUUUAAUCCCUCUGCCAAUUUCAAAUCUCUUAGAUGUUCCCUGUUUCUAUUGUUAAUUUGCAAAAAUACCUCCUGCAUUUUUAUUUGAACAAUAUGUAGAGCUACAGCAACAGAAUCAAUUAACUUAGAACUCUUUACACUGCCCAUGAAACGGCUAAAUAACAUUUUGCUUUAAUGGGUGUGCAACAGCAACAUAAGGUGAUGCUUUAUACUACAUGGGUGUGUUCGUUUAUUCCAGAUGAAUACAGGUUAUAGGCUUACGUUAGGUACUAGCAUGAAGUACUCUGCCAGCCUUUUGUUGCUGCCAUCAAAGUCAAAAUGACCUUAUUUCUUAAAAUGGUGCAUUUACAUCAGUUUAAACAUCUGAUAUGUUUUCUAUGUUCUGUCGUGAAUAAAAUGCAGGUUUAUAAG